AUCUGGGGUGGCAGACCUACCACAUGAAUUCUGGUUAGGAAAUUCACCCUACCUGUCCGUAAGCAGCAAUUAAUGGACUCCUAAGAGGCCCAUGAGAAUCCUUGAGGUAGGAGUAAGGAUUCUGCAAACAUAGUGUGAUGGCUUUGGAAAGCUGGAGGAAGGAGGCACGAUUAGACUGAAUGCAAAGGUCCCCUGCUUUCAAAGAAUUGGUCAGGAUGGGGUGGUUCUCCUCUGUGUCUGCACUGUGGACACAAGGCUGCACAUUUCAGGACCAGGAAGGAAACCACAUCAGGGCUCCUCUUUCUCACUCCAUUGUUGUUUCCUCACAAUGCCUGGCAAAUAAUACUCUGUACUGCUCCCAGAAUUCCUGA
rnacentral:lncRNA from 1 species